UAUCUCUGUAGGCCUUUUUUCAG
rnacentral:piRNA from 1 species